rnacentral:lncRNA from 1 species
AAUUAAUAGUUUAGUGUUUUUUUUUUUAUUUUUUUAUCAUUUUGGGAUUUAAAAAAUUACACUUAAUUACGGCAUGUUUAAUUGUUUGGGUGAAAGUGGAGAGGGGUAAGGUGAUUUUCGACUGUAAACAAUCAUUUCUGCUGUUUGGUUCAUAGUAAUAGAGAUACGAUCAAAACAGCCGAAAUCAAUUACAGUGAAAAAGGUGAAGAAAAAAUAAUAAAAUAAUAUAAUGGGUAAUAUUAGUAAUAUUUAAAUAUAUAUUUAAUUAUGAUAUCAAUUACUCUUUUAUUUAGUUUGCAUAUUUAAAAUAUGAUAAAAAUUGAUUAGUUAAGUUUUAGUAUUUCCUUCAUUUAGUUUAUAAAUUUAAAAUAUGAUGAAAAUUAAUUAGUUAAGUAUUAAUAUUUUUUUUUACUUUAUAAUUUUGUUGUUGUAUUAUUAUAAUUUAUGUAUAAAAAAUAAUUUAGUUGUUUUAGAUUAAAUUUUUUAAUUAUAUAUGAAUAUAAUUAUAUUAUUUUUAUUUAUUAUAUUAUAUUAUUUAUUAAGUUAUUUAUUAUUUAUACAUAAUUAUAAUUUUACAUCAUUCGCUUCCUGGCCAACAAAUAACAGAGCUAAAGAAACUUCACUUCCAUAGCUAUACAAACAAACAGCGGAGGAGAAAUAAUUUUUACCGAACUCCACUUCAACCCAAAGUCCACUUCUAUCCAAAAUUUAAUUUCGGUGAAACAAACAGGCCCUUAAUUAUUUAUCUGUGGUUUUCUAUUUGUUUCACCAAAAAAAUUUAUCGCC